rnacentral:RNase_P_RNA from 1 species
CCAGACGGCCGGAUGACCGCUGGCGCCGGCGGGACACCGCGGGCGCUGGAGGAAAGUCCGGGCUCCACGGGAACGCGGUGCCGGGUAACGCCCGGCGGGGGCGACCCCAGGGAAAGUGCAACAGAAAGCAAACCGCUCCCGCCUGCUUCGGCAGCGGGAGCAAGGGUGAAAGGGUGCGGUAAGAGCGCACCGCGCCCCCGGCAACGGGGGUGGCACGGCAAACCCCACCGGGAGCAAGACCGAAUAGGAGCGGCAGGCCGGCGGCAACGCCGGCCGGGCGGGUUUUCGCGCCGCCGCUCGGGUAGGUCGCGCGAGGCGCCCGGCGACGGGCGUCCCAGAGGAAUGGUCAUCCCCUGCUUGGCAGGGACAGAACCCGGCUUACAGGCCGUCUGGCGCU